GGAGCGCGCGCGGGAGAUGGGGCGCGGUGGCCGGCGUUGGCCCCGCACGCUCCGGAGCCCCGAGGGCUCCUCACUAGGCCCCUGCAGCGCCCCCUUCUUCUCAACCGGGUCACGGGUCCCUCAGUGAGCAAGGCUCCCAAGUCGCCUUCCCGGCCAUGGCCAACGGAGUGAUCCCGCCGCCCGGGGGCGCCUCCCCCCUACCCCAGGUCCGGGUGCCCUUGGAGGAGCCCCCUCUGAGUCCAGACCUGGAGGAGGAGGACGAUGACUUGGGCAAGACCUUGGCUGUGAGCAGGUUUGGGGACCUCAUCAGCAAGCCCCCGGCCUGGGACCCUGAGAAGCCCAGCCGCAGCUACAGCGAGCGGGACUUUGAGUUUCACCGGCACACAUCCCACCACACCCACCACCCGCUCUCGGCGCGCCUGCCUCCACCCCACAAGCUGCGGCGACUGCCCCCCACCUCUGCCCGGCAGACCAGGAGGAAGAGGAAGAAGGAGAAGACCUCUGCUCCCCCCUCUGAGGGGACCCCUCCCAUCCAGGAGGAGGGGGCAGCCGGAGUGGAGGAAGAGGAGGAGGAGGAGGAGGAGGAGGAAGAGGAAGGGGAAUCUGAGGCAGAACCUGUGGAGCCCCCGCCCUCAGGGUCCCCACAGAAAGCAAAGUUCUCCAUUGGAAGUGACGAGGAUGACAGUCCUGGCCUCUCCGGGAAGGCUGCCUUCACCAAGCCCCUGCCCUCGGUGGGCCCUUGCUCUGACAAGAGCCCCCAGCAGUCAGUCAGUCCAAGGCUGCCAUGGUGCCUCCUCAGCUCCCCGAGCCCCCGGGCCCGGGCCUCCCGAGUCGCUGGGGAGAAGAGCCGGCCCUGGAGCCCGUCGGCCAGCUAUGACCUUCGGGAAAGGCUGUGCCCAGGCAGUGCCCUGGGUAGCCCAGGUGGCCCGGAGCAGCAGGUGCCCACUGACGAGGCGGAGGCCCAGAUGCUGGGCUCCGCGGACCUGGACGACAUGAAGAGUCACCGGCUGGAGGACAACCCUGGCAUGCGGCGUCACCUAGUGAAGAAGCCGUCGCGCACGCAGGGUGGGAGGGGCAGCCCCGGUGGCUUGGCCCCCAUCCUGCGCAGGAAGAAGAAGAAGAAGACGUUGGAUCGGAGGCCUCAUGAGGUGUUUGUGGAGCUCAAUGAGCUGACGCUGGACCGCAGCCAGGAGCCCCACUGGCGGGAGACGGCGCGCUGGAUCAAGUUUGAGGAGGAUGUGGAGGAAGAGACAGAGCGCUGGGGCAAGCCCCAUGUGGCCUCGCUCUCCUUCCGCAGCCUUCUGGAGCUCCGGAGGACCAUCGCCCACGGAGCUGCCCUCCUGGACCUGGAGCAGACCACUCUGCCGGGUAUCGCACAUCUCGUGGUGGAGACCAUGAUCGUGUCUGACCAGAUCCGUCCGGAGGACAGGGCCAGUGUCCUUCGCACCCUCCUGCUGAAACACAGCCAUCCCAAUGAUGACAAGGACACUGGCUUCUUUCCCCGAAACCCGUCCAGCUCCAGCGUGAACUCGGUCAUGGGGAAUCAUCACCCAACCCCCAGCCAUGGCCCUGACGGUGCAGUGCCUACCAUGGCCGAGGACGUGGGGGAACCAGCCCCUCUCUGGCCUCAUGACCCAGAUGCCAAGGAGAAGCCCCUCCACAUGCCUGGGGGAGACAGUCACCGGGGAAAAAGCCUGAAGCUACUGGAGAAGAUCCCUGAAGAUGCCGAGGCUACUGUUGUGCUCGUGGGCUGUGUGCCUUUCUUGGAGCAGCCGGCGGCAGCUUUUGUGCGACUGAAUGAGGCUGUGCUCUUGGAGUCUGUGCUCGAGGUCCCGGUGCCCGUUCGCUUUCUCUUUGUGAUGCUGGGUCCCAGCCACACCAGCACUGACUACCACGAGCUUGGGCGCUCCAUUGCCACCCUCAUGUCUGACAAGCUGUUUCAUGAGGCUGCCUACCAGGCAGAUGACCGGCAGGACCUCCUGAGUGCCAUCAGCGAGUUCCUGGAUGGCAGCAUCGUGAUCCCCCCAUCGGAGGUAGAGGGCCGUGACCUGCUGCGCUCCGUGGCCGCCUUCCAGCGCGAGCUGCUGAGGAAGCGGAGGGAGCGUGAACAGACCAAAGUGGAGAUGACUACCCAGGGAAGCUAUGUGGCCCCUGGGAAAGAGCUGGCUGUGGAGUUGGGGGGCUCUGAGGCGACCCCCGAAGAUGACCCCCUGCUGCGGACUGGCUCAGUGUUUGGGGGGCUCGUGCGGGAUGUGAAGCGUCGGUACCCGCACUACCCCAGUGACCUGCGAGACGCCUUGCACUCCCAGUGCGUGGCGGCCGUGCUGUUCAUCUACUUCGCUGCCCUCAGCCCUGCCAUCACCUUCGGGGGCCUGCUAGGGGAGAAGACGGAGGGCCUGAUGGGCGUGUCCGAGCUGAUUGUGUCCACCGCUGUGCUUGGCGUCCUCUUCUCCCUGCUGGGGGCCCAGCCGCUUCUUGUGGUCGGCUUCUCCGGGCCAUUGCUGGUGUUCGAAGAAGCCUUCUUCAAGUUCUGCCGAGCCCAGGACCUGGAGUACCUCACCGGCCGGGUGUGGGUUGGCCUCUGGCUGGUGGUUUUUGUCCUUGCCCUGGUGGCCGCCGAAGGCAGCUUCCUGGUCCGCUAUAUCUCACCUUUCACCCAGGAGAUCUUCGCCUUUCUCAUCUCGCUUAUUUUCAUCUAUGAGACCUUCCACAAGCUCUACAAGGUAUUCACGGAGCACCCGCUGCUGCCAUUCUACCCUCCUGAGGGGGCAUUGGAGGCUGGGCUAGACCUGAAUGGGAGCGCCCUGCCCCCCACUGAGGGGCCGCCGGGCCCGAGGAACCAGCCCAACACGGCUCUGCUGUCCCUCAUUCUCAUGCUUGGGACCUUCCUCAUUGCCUUUUUCCUACGAAAGUUCAGGAACAGCCGCUUCUUGGGUGGCAAGGCUCGCCGCAUCAUUGGGGAUUUUGGCAUCCCCAUUUCCAUUCUGGUGAUGGUCCUAGUGGAUUACUCUAUUACAGACACCUACACGCAGAAGCUGACGGUGCCCACAGGGCUCUCAGUGACAUCCCCCCAUAAGCGCACGUGGUUCAUCCCACCCCUGGGCAGUGCCCGUCCCUUCCCGCCCUGGAUGAUGGUGGCGGCGGCUGUCCCUGCCCUCCUGGUCCUCAUCUUGAUCUUCAUGGAGACACAGAUCACUGCGCUCAUCGUCAGCCAGAAGGCACGGAGGCUGCUCAAGGGCUCUGGCUUCCACCUGGACCUGCUCCUGAUCGGCUCGCUGGGGGGGCUCUGUGGGCUGUUUGGGUUGCCCUGGCUCACGGCUGCCACCGUCCGCUCAGUCACUCAUGUGAAUGCACUGACUGUUAUGCGCACUGCCAUCGCUCCUGGCGACAAGCCCCAGAUCCAGGAGGUGCGGGAGCAGCGGGUCACUGGAGUGCUCAUCGCCAGCCUCGUGGGCCUGUCUAUCGUCAUGGGGGCUGUGCUGCGCCGGAUCCCGUUGGCUGUGCUCUUUGGGAUUUUCCUGUACAUGGGGGUCACGUCUCUGUCCGGCAUCCAGCUGUCCCAGCGUCUGUUGCUUAUCCUCAUGCCGGCGAAACACCAUCCUGAGCAACCCUAUGUGACCAAGGUGAAGACGUGGCGGAUGCACCUGUUCACCUGCAUCCAGCUGGGCUGCAUCGCGCUGCUCUGGGUCGUCAAGUCCACAGCGGCCUCACUCGCCUUUCCCUUCCUGCUGCUGCUCACGGUGCCUCUGAGGCGUUGCCUUCUGCCCCGGCUCUUCCAGGAAAGGGAGCUGCAGGCGCUGUAGGAAGGGGCUGAUAAUGGAGUCUUCCUUAUAGGAGUGUCGUGAGGGUUAAGCGCUAAUCCAGCUGGACUCUGAAGAUGCUGAACCAAACUUUGACGAGGACGGCCAGGAUGAAUACAACGAGCUGCACAUGCCCGUGUGAUCCUCCAACGUGGUGCCCCUCAGAGACCCCGAUACCUUAGUGGUCGAC